ACACACACACACACACACACACAAACUAAAAGGUAACAUGGCAGCGAACAUGUGACGCCCGAGGGACACACUGGCACUAGAACACCAGUUGUUGACUAAACCUGCAGAAUGAUGUGCUGCUCGAAGUAGUAGUAGUAGAAGAAGAAAUUAAGGUGUGUGUUCAACAAACUUACCUGUGGAUGGUAGACACUGAGUGAUUUGACUUUGUGCAGAGGCAAUAAAACCUUUAACAGGAAAAUCUUGUGCUCUUCUUUUAGUGGUAAGGCAAAUCCAUUGAUUAUGCUACAAAAUAAACAAAAGUACAAUCAGAACACCUGAAAAGUAGUCUGGCAUGAUUUUGGAAUUAAACAGCUCAUAAUUAGGACGCUUCAGUAUUUAGACAGAAAAACACUGACGGUCAUGUAAAAAUUGUAUAAAAGCCAUAAGGACAUUACAUCUGCAUUCACCAAAGCUUUUAACUGUACGGGCCAUACCUUCCAAGUAUUUCCAGUAGUUCAGCUAUACCGUUGUGGUGCUCUGUCUCAUAGAUAAACCUGUAAGGACAAACAGACUUCAUUCAGUGGCAACACGCAGACUUUAUAUUAACUAAAAAUGAAAAAGAAGAUUCAAGUGCUGACCAUUUCUCUCUAUGCAUGUUUAAAAAUGAGCAGAGCACUGGGAGACCGGCACUGACCUAUAGAAAAUGUUAUUGAUCUGUUUUCUGAUGUACGCUCUCAGCCCCAGGAACUUUCCGUAGAUCCUGUGAAGGGUAGUUUUGAGGAAGUCUCUCUCUCGUGGAUCCUCGCUGUCAAAAAGUUCUAGGAGCUACAAUGCAAGGGAGUUGUUACCAUAAUGACAGUCUCAGCGCAGAUUCUGUCUUGUAAUUUAGUUUGUCCUAUUAUACAGUCUGAGAGGCUGACAAGAUAAUUUUCCUACCUGCAUAACAAAUUUCUGGUCGAUGUAUUUCUUCGCUAUGUUAGGCUGAAAGUCGGGUGAUUCUAAAAAUCUAAGGAAAAAUUCAUAGACAAGCUGCAACAGAAAGGGGGGGGGGACAAACAGGAAUGAAUGCUUGGAAGGAAUUCAAGCUAAAUGGGGAGCUGUGCAAUGUUGAAGUAGUUCACAAAUGCUCCAACACCAACUGCACACUUUAAAAUGUGAUACAGUUUUGAAGACUUUAGCUCUAAAUUCCUAUUUUUGUUCUUCGUGGCCAUCAAUGCGAGAAUUGUUGGCUGCCAAAUCUUUUUUUAUUUACACAUGUACUUAAAAGGAAUCACUAGGGAACUGCAUGCUUCAGGCUCCUUUAUGUUGAGAACAAUCAGUUAUAAACCUUUCACUGUUUUGCAGGUGAUUUAAUGAUUUAAAUGUCAACCUGGAGGUGUGGCCAUGCAGCUUCAAGUGUUGGCUCGUCUUCCUCUGGAUCAAACUCGGCGCCAGUAGGGUUUGACGAAGGAGGCAAUGUUCUGAACAUAUUCACCGCAAACUGGAAGAGAAAUGAGACUGACUGUUUAUUCCACUGGACAUGUCAACUGACUCCCCUGUGGGCUCCUGUUCCCUGCCAGGCAGAUCAUGGGACAGUGCAGGUGGCCUACUAAAACACUGGGAGCCUUGUUCGAAAAGACAGGCUACAAGGUAGAUAGGCUGUCUGGGCUGUGCUGUGCGCUUCAACCCAGAACAGACUGUGAGCAUGACUACGCAUGAACUCCACAAUUGUAACCGUAAAUGGAAAUGUCAUAACGGUGAUUAUAGCAAAUCUGCUGUUGGCUUUGAUGAUGAAAAGAAAGCAGUUUAGUGUUAGUGUCCAAGAAAGAGUAUCUCACUAGACUGCAGCAUUUCCAUCAUGUUUAUAGCUCCGUUUCUAUAUCUCUGCACAAUAAAGAUUGAGAUGAGAUGGUAAGCAGCAUCAUCAUCAGCGAUCAUUUUGGUUUUGAAGUUUAGUUGUAAGACAAAUUUGGCUCUUAAUUUGAAAUAAAUCACUAUUACUUCUGCUGAAAAUAAAACUGUCAUCACAUCCCUUG